rnacentral:rRNA from 1 species
AACGAACGCUAGCGGCGUGCUUAACACAUGCAAGUCGGACGAGAAAUUCCGAGCAAUCGGGAGAGUAAAGUGGCGCACGGGUGAGUAACGCGUGGGUAAUCUACCCUGGAGUUGGGAAUAACACCUCGAAAGGGGUGCUAAUACCUAAUAUGAUUCUAGAGACUAUGGUCUUUGGAAUAAAGGUGGCUGAGGCUUGCAAGCUAUUGCUCCAGGAUGAGCCCGCGUACCAUUAGCUGGUUGGUGGGGUAACGGCUCACCAAGGCAAUGAUGGUUAGCUGGUCUGAGAGGAUGGCCAGCCACACUGGAACUGAGAUACGGUCCAGACUCCUACGGGAGGCAG